UGGAACUGAAGUUGGAGUAGAAGAGGGCUCGACAGCUAUUCUUUUUCUACGUACAUCUUCCUCUAACCCUUAAACUGAUUUUCUUCUCUGCGGUAGCUUUGAUUUGAGAGCCAUUUUAGAUAGAAGAGACUUGCAAAUAGCUUAGGAGAGUCGAUGAGUGGUAGAGUGGAAGGGAUUUUUAGAGGAAAAGCAAAAAUUUUGGGAAGAU
rnacentral:lncRNA from 1 species